rnacentral:rRNA from 1 species
AAGGGGCGGAAGCCUGAUGCAGCGACGCCGCGUGAGGGAUGACGGCCUUCGGGUUGUAAACCUCUUUCAGCAGGGACGAAGCGUAAGUGACGGUACCUGCAGAAGAAGCACCGGCCAACUACGUGCCUGCAGCCGCGGUAAGACGUAGGGUGCGAGCGUUGUCCGGAUUUAUUGGGCGUAAAGAGCUCGUAGGCGGCUUGUCGCGUCGACUGUGAAAACCCGCAGCUCAACUGCGGGCCUGCAGUCGAUACGGGCGGGCUAGAGUUCGGUAGGGGAGACUGGAAUUCCUGGUGUAGCGGUGAAAUGCGCAGAUAUCAGGAGGAACACCGGUGGCGAAGGCGGGUCUCUGGGCCGAUACUGACGCUGAGGAGCGAAAGCGUGGGGAGCGAACAGGAUUAGAUACCCUGGUAGUCCACGCUGUAAACGUUGGGCGCUAGGUGUGGGGGGCCUCUCCGGUUCCCUGUGCCGCAGCUAACGCAUUAAGCGCCCCGCCUGGGGAGUACGGCCGCAAGGCUAAAACUC